UGGAUCACCUCCUAACAGGGAGACAACAAAAUGUUAAAUAUUAAUUUUGUCACCUUAGGUCGAUCGGUAUCUCACAUUCUUAAUUUAUUAAGGAUUUUAUUUCCUAAGUUUUUUCUAGGUCACACCCAUUACUUUUCCUGGGCCAUUAGCUCAGGUGGUUAGAGCGCACCCCUGAUAAGGGUGAGGUCCCUGGUUCAAGUCCAGGAUGGCCCAUAUCUCUAUGUUGGGGGUAUAGCUCAGUUGGUAGAGCGCCUGCUUUGCAAGCAGGAUGUCAGCGGUUCGAGUCCGCUUACCUCCACUGAUCACCACCUCUUCCAUAUUUUAAAGAAAGGAAAUGUUUUGAGUUGUGAUCAAAUUCUGAACGAAUCUAGCUUCCUAAUCAAACUUAUUAAGAUGCUGGACUCAUUGAAUUAAAUUCAUUGUUUUCAGAGAACCUUGACAACUGCAUAGAUUAUUUUUAAAGACAAUAAGCAUCUUUAAUGAUGCAGAUUUAUUAUUUGUGCGAAUGCAUUAAUAACAAUUCUAUUAAGCUGAUGCUUCAAUUUUUGAAGUUAUUGGUCAAGCUACAAAGGGCUCACGGAGGAUACCUAGGCACACAGAGGCGAUGAAGG
rnacentral:tRNA from 1 species